rnacentral:rRNA from 1 species
UACGGAGGGUGCAAGCGUUGCUCGGAAUUAUUGGGCGUAAAGGGCAAGUAGGUGGUCUCAUUUGUCUGGGGUGAAAGCCUUGAGCUUAACUCAAGAAGUGCCCCGGAAACGGUGAGACUCGAGUACUGGAGAGGGUCGUGGAAUUCCCGGUGUAGCGGUGAAAUGCGUAGAGAUCGGGAGGAACACCUGAGGCGAAGGCGGCGACCUGGACAGUUACUGACACUCAGGCACGAAAGCGUGGGGAGCAAAAGGG